rnacentral:rRNA from 1 species
GAGUAACCUUUUAGGAGCUAGCCGUCGAAGGUGGGACAAAUGAUUGGGGUGAAGUCGUAACAAGGUAGCCGUAUCGGAAGGUGCGGCUGGAUCACCUCCUUUCUAAGGA